GCUAAGAAUCUUCCGCAAUGGGGGAAACCCUGACGGAGCGACGCCGCGUGGACGAAGAAGGCCGCAAGGUUGUAAAGUCCUUUUGCGGGCGAAGAAUAAGCAGGGGAGUGGAACGCUCCUGCGAUGACGUUAGCCUGCGAAUAAGCCCCGGCCAAUUACGUGCCAGCAGCCGCGGUAACACGUAUGGGGCAAGCGUUGUUCGGAAUUACUGGGCGUAAAGGGCGUGUAGGCGGUUCAGUAAGCCUGGCGUGAAAGUCUCCGGCCCAACCGGGGGACGGCGCUGGGAACUGCGGGACUGGAGUCUUGGAGGGGGAGCUGGAAUUCCAGGUGUAGGGGUGAAAUCUGUAGAGAUCUGGAAGAACACCGGUGGCGAAGGCGAGCUCCUGGCCAAUGACUGACGCUGAGGCGCGAAAGCGUGGGGAGCAAACAGGAUUAGAAACCCGGGUAGUCC
rnacentral:rRNA from 1 species